GACAGCCAGGAUGUUGGCUUAGAAGCAGCCAUCAUUUAAAGAAAGCGUAAUAGCUCACUGGUCGAGUCGGCCCGCGCGGAAGAUGUAACGGGGCUAAACCAUGCACCGAAGCUGCGGCAGCGACACAAAGUGUUGUUGGGUAGGGGAGCGUUCUGUAAGCCUGCGAAGGUGUACUGUGAGGUAUGCUGGAGGUAUCAGAAGUGCGAAUGCUGACAUAAGUAACGAUAAUGCGGGUGAAAAACCCGCACGCCGGAAG
rnacentral:rRNA from 1 species